GACGAACGCUGGCGGCGUGCUUAACACAUGCAAGUCGAACGGAAAGGCCCAGCUUGCGGGGUACUCGAGUGGCGAACGGGUGAGUAACACGUGGGUGAUCUGCCCCUGUCUUUGGGAUAAGCCUGGGAAACUGGGUCUAAUACCGGAUAUGACCUUACAUCGCAUGGUGUGUGGUGGAAAGCUUUUGCGGUUGGGGAUGGGCCCGCGGCGUAUCAGCUUGUUGGUGGGGUAUUGGCCUACCAAGGCGACGACGGGUAGCCGACCUGAGAGGGUGAUCGGCCACACUGGGACUGAGACACGGCCCAGACUCCUACGGGAGGCAGCAGUGGGGAAUAUUGCACAAUGGGCGCAAGCCUGAUGCAGCGACGCCGCGUGAGGGAUGACGGCCUUCGGGUUGUAAACCUCUUUCACCAGGGACGAAGCGUGAGUGACGGUACCUGGAGAAGAAGCACCGGCUAACUACGUG
rnacentral:rRNA from 1 species